GACGAACGCUGGCGGCGUGCUUAACACAUGCAAGUCGAACGGAAAGGCUCCAGCUUGCUGGAGUACUCGAGUGGCGAACGGGUGAGUAACACGUGGGUAAUCUGCCCUGCACUCUGGGAUAAGCCUGGGAAACUGGGUCUAAUACUGGAUAUGACCUUUCUCCUUAUGGGGUUUGGUGGAAAGUUUUUCGGUGUAGGAUGAGCCCGCGGCCUAUCAGCUUGUUGGUGGGGUGAUGGCCUACCAAGGCGACGACGGGUAGCCGGCCUGAGAGGGUGAUCGGCCACAUUGGGACUGAGAUACGGCCCAGACUCCUACGGGAGGCAGCAGUGGGGAAUAUUGCACAAUGGGCGGAAGCCUGAUGCAGCGACGCCGCGUGAGGGAUGACGGCCUUCGGGUUGUAAACCUCUUUCAGCAGGGACGAAGCGUAAGGGACGGUACCUGCAGAAGAAGCACCGGCUAACUAUGU
rnacentral:rRNA from 1 species